ensembl:lncRNA
ACCCUGUGACUCUCAGGCAAUUCAGUGUCUCUCAAUGAAUUCUCUGAGAGCCCCACUACAAAGCAACUGAGAUCCUUUAAUAGCAAAGAACACACAUAGUCAGACAGCAUAGACAUAAUAAAUCGUUCAGCUUUGUCUCCUUACUCAAACCCCAGAACGAUAAACCAACCCUCCAUAUCAACAGGCAUAUAUCAAAUUGUCAUUUAGAUACAACCAACUCUAAAAUACAACCAAUCCUGGACAAGCUCACGGAGAGGAUAGAAUGAUUCCAGACACUGCCAUCCUCCUUUCCCCGAUGGGAAAAGUAGGGAGUGACUGGCACACAAACACAGUGGAGCAAAAGAUAUGUUUACACAUGAUGAUACUUUGACCUCUCCCCUCUCUGCGGCCCAUGCAACUUAGUCUUGACAUAGAACAGAUACUGAUGAGAAGUAACUUACAAACAUAUGAUGAAUAUAAAACAUCUUACCUAAGUUACCAACAAAUUCUGAUUAUUCCACAACAGCGCUGUAUUAAGAAGCAGUGCGGCUUGGUUGGGUUGUGUUUCGGAGGACGCAUGGCUUUUGACCUUCGUCUCUCCUGUAGCGAUAAGACAAGAUAGUAACUACUAACAAUUGGAUACCAUGAAAUUGGGGAGAAAAGGGGGGUAAAUUCAACAAAAAAAUAAAAUGUAAAAAAAAGAAUACACAUUGCCUGUUAAGACAAUUAUAUUAUAUGACUGUUGCCUCCCGUUUAAGUUUAGUGCGAUGUAAUGACAUCUGUUUUUGAUCAUUGUUAGGUGGAGGUCGCUAGCUACAAUGGUAUCUUCAGCCUGGCCUAGCUUUUAGCUAGCUAGCUGCUCUGCAGUGCAAGCUAACUUGACUUGUUAUAAUGUUAGAAACAAGUUGAUGAAAAAGUAACAAAACAUGUUUUAUUAUCACCUGGAACAAUAUCAUCCUGUCUUGAAUGAAAGGUCAAAUUUUGCAAUAUCCCAAAAUAAAUUUGAUCUGACAGUAACGGUUUUCUUCCGAUGAAGGAGAGGAGUACCAAAAUGCAGCGUGGUUAGGGUUCAACAUGUUUAAUAUAGACGAUAAACGAGAACACUACAAAAUACAAAACAACAAAGGUGCGGACUCCCGGGCCGCACACCUAAAUCCAUAGGGGAGGGUCUGGGUGGGCGUCUGUCCACGGUGGCGGCUCUGGCGCGGGACGUGGACCCCGAUCCGCCAUAGUCUUUGUCCGCUUUAGUCUCUUCAUAGGAACGGCAACCCUCGCCGCCGACCUAGGAUUGGCAACCCUACUAAAGGGCCCUACUGGACUUAACAAACUCCUCCGGACUGAGGGGCAGCUCCGGACUGAGGAGUAGCUCCAGACUGAGGGGCAGCUCAGGACUGAGGGGCAGCUCAGGACUGAGGGGCAGCUCAGGACUGAGGGGCAGCACAGGACUGAGGGGCAGCUCAGGACUGAGGGGUAGCUCAGGACUGAGGGGUAGCUCAGGACUGAGGGGUAGCUCAGGACUGAGGGGUAGCUCAGGACUGAGAGGUAGCUCAGGCUGGUUGAUGGCUCUGGCGGCUUCUGGCUGACUGACGGCUCUGGCGGCUCCUGGCUGGCUGGCGGCUCUGGUGGCUCCUGGCUGGCUGGCGGCUCCAUGCUGACUGGCGGCUCUGGCGGCUCCAUGCUGACUGGCGACUCUGGCGGCCCCAUGCUGACUGGCGACUCUGGCGGCUCCAUGCUGACUGGCGACUCUGGCGGCUCCAUGCUGACGGGAGACUCUGGCGGCUCCAUGCUGGCGGGAGACUCUAGCAGCUCUGGACAGGCGGGAGACUAGCAGCUCUGGACGGGCGGGAUAAUGUAGCGGCUCUGGAGAGACAGGAGAAUCUGGCGGUGCUGGAGAGGAGGAAGUCUCUAGCAGCUCUGGACAGGCGGGAGACUCUAGCAGCUCUGGACAGACGAGGCGCACUGUAGGCCUGGUGCGUGGUGCCAGCACGAUGUCCACUCUAGCCCGGCCGAUACGAGGAGCUGGUAUGUACCGCACCGGGCUAUGCACCCGCACUGGGGACACCGUGCGCUCCACAGCAUAACACAGUGCCUGCCCGGUCUCUCUCGCCCUCCGGUAAGCACAGGAAGUUGGCGCAGGUCUCCUACCUGUCUUCGCCACACUCCCUGUGUGCCUCCCCCAAGAAAUUGUUGGGAUUGACUCUUGGGCUUCCAUCCGCGCAGCCGGGCUGCCUCCUCAUACCAGCGCCUCUCCACCGUCGCUGCCUCCAGCACUUCUUUGGGGCGGCGAUAUUCUCCUGGCUGUGCCCAGGUUCCUUUCCCGUCUAGGAUCUCCUCCCAAGUCCAUGUCUCUAAAUAGUGUUGCCUCUCCUGCUGCUGCUGCUGCUGCCUGUUACCACGCCGCUUGGUCCUUGGUUGGUGGGUGGUUCUGUAACGG